AGAGUUUGAUCCUGGCUCUUAUUGAAUGCUGGCGGUAUGCUUAACACAUGCAAUUCGAACGGUAACAGGCCUUCUGGCGCUGACAAGUGGCGGACGGGUGCGUAACGCGUAGGAAUCUGCCUGUUAGUGGGGGACAACUUGGGGAAACUCAUGCUAAUACCGCAGACCCCCUACGGGGGAAAGCGGGGGACCUUCGGGCCUCGCGCUAACAGAUGAGCCUGCGUUGGAUUAGCUUGUUGGUAGGGUAAAGGCCUACCAUGGCGACUAUCCAUAGCUGGUCUGAGAGGACGAUCAGCCACACUGGGACUGAGACACGGCCCAUACUCCUACAGGAGGCAGCAGUGGGGAAUAUUGGACAAUGGGCGCAAGCCUGAUCCAGCAAUACCGCGUGUGUGAAGAAGGCCUGAGGGUUGUAAAGCACUUUUAAUAGGGAGGAAAACCUAUCGGCCAAUACCCGAUAGCUUGACAUUACCUAUAGAAAAAGCACCGGCUAACUCCGUGCCAGCAGCCGCGGUAAUACGGAGGGUGCGAGCGUUAAUCGGAAUUACUGGGCGUAAAGCAUGCGUAGGCGGUUGCUUAAGUCAGAUGUGAAAGCCCCGGGCUUAACCUGGGAACUGCAUUUGAUACUGGGUGACCAGAGUUGAGUAGAGGAGAGUGGAAUUUCAGGUGUAGCGGUGAAAUGCGUAGAGAUCUGAAGGAACACCAGUGGCGAAGGCGACUCUCUGGACUCAAACUGACGUUGAGGUACGAAAGCGUGGGUAGCAAACAGGAUUAGAUACCCUGGUAGUCCACGCCGUAAACGAUGUCAACUAGCCGUUGGUUCUCUUAAUAGGAUUAGUGGCGCAGCUAACGCAUUAAGUUGACCGCCUGGGGAGUACGGCCGCAAGGUUUAAACUCAAA
rnacentral:rRNA from 1 species